GACGAACGCUGGCGGCGUGCUUAACACAUGCAAGUCGAACGGAAAGGCCCUGAUUUUGUGGGGUUCUCGAGUGGCGAACGGGUGAGUAACACGUGAGUAACCUGCUCUUGAAUUUGGGAUAACUUCAGGUAACUAGGGCUAAUACCAGAUAGUAGCUCCUGCUGCAUGGUGGGGGUUGGAAAGUUUCGGCGGUUGGGGGUGGACUCGCGGCUUAUCAGAUUGUUGGUGGGGUAGUGGCGUACCAAGGCUUUGACUGGUAGCCGGCCUGUGAGGGUGACCAGGCACAUUGGGACUGAGGGACGGCCCAGACUCCUACGGGAGGCAGCAGUGGGGAAUAUUGCACAAUGGGCGGAAGCCUGAUGAAGCAACGCCGCGUGCGGGAAGACGGCCUUCGGGUUGUAAACCGCGUUCGCCUGUGACGAAGCGUGAGUGACGGUAAUGGGUAAAGAAGCACCGGCUAACUACGUG
rnacentral:rRNA from 1 species